UACGUAGGGUGCGAGCGUUGUCCGGAAUUAUUGGGCGUAAAGAGCUCGUAGGCGGUGUGUCACGUCGGCCGUGAAAACCUGCAGCUUAACUGUGGGCGUGCGGUCGAUACGGGCAUCACUGGAGUUCGGCAGGGGAGACUGGAAUUCCUGGUGUAGCGGUGAAAUGCGCAGAUAUCAGGAGGAACACCAAUAGCGAAGGCAGCUCGCUGGGACGGUACUGACGCUAAGGCGCGAAAGCGUGGGGAGCAAACAGG
rnacentral:rRNA from 1 species